rnacentral:rRNA from 1 species
AAACUAACAAGGAUUCCCCUAGUAACGGCGAGUGAACCGGGAAAAGCUCAAAUUUGAAAUCUGGCUGUCUUCGAUAGUCCGAGUUGUAAUCUAUAGAAGCGUUUUCCGUGCUGAACUGUGUCUAAGUCCCUUGGAACAGGGUAUCAAAGAGGGUGAUAAUCCCGUACUUGACACAACCAUCAGUGCUCUGUGAUACGUUCUCUACGAGUCGAGUUGUUUGGGAAUGCAGCUCAAAAUGGGUGGUAAAUUCCAUCUAAAGCUAAAUAUUGGCGAGAGACCGAUAGCGAACAAGUACCGUGAGGGAAAGAUGAAAAGCACUUUGGAAAGAGAGUUAAACAGUACGUGAAAUUGUUGAAAGGGAAACGAUUGAAGUCAGUCGUGUUCAUUGGAUUCAGCUAGUUCUUCUAGUCUACUUCCUUUGAACGGGUCAACAUCAGUUUUGUCCGGUGGAUAAAGGAUUUAGGAAUGUGACUCCCUCGGGAGUGUUAUAGCCUAGGUUCACAUACACUGGGUGAGACUGAGGACUGCAGCUCGCCUUUUGGCCGGGGUUCGCCCACGUUCGAGCUUAGGAUGUUGACAUAAUGGCUUUAAACGACCC